CAGCCCCCUGACCUGGCUUUGACCAGAGCCUUUGCUUCUUAUCGUUCGUCCGUAGCAAACACCUUACCGCAGGCAGAGGGUAUCCCCUCUCCUCCCACCAGCCUGUAAUUUGGGUUUUGCAGCUCAUCCUAUGGGAAGCACUGAGGUGGUGUUAAUGCUCGCCUGCUUUGACUUGCCAUGUAUAGGUAAAAGAAAAGCCUUUGUUUACAGAAGCCAUAUUAACCUACAUUAAGUGCUGCAGUCUGUUUCUGUUCUAAGUACUUCUUACCCACUUGAAGAAAAAUUAGUUAUGAAAUGACAGUAAAGUUUCACAUGCAAACAGUUUUAGUGGUUUAACUUAAUGUGCUGUCCUGGGCUCCAGUGUUCGCCUGCGUAAAGUCAGGGUUCGGUUCAGGGCGCCUGGCUUUGCUGUCCACGUACCCCCUUCACCCAGACAUCCUCACGCAGGUGCUGCCGCCUGCCUGCCUGGCUGCUGCUCACCAGGAGCUGGACCCUGCCCGGGGCCGCUCGCUGCACACCCGCAACAACCAAGGGCACAUGUGCUCUUUGCUUACUGCGUGCCAGCAGUGCACCCCAGACUCCCUGUCCGUCUCUGGCUUUCCAUGGGGUGUGCUGCUCGGCAUCUUGUUGGGGCUGGCUGCUGGCACUGCUCCCACCAGGGAGAAGGAAUUGCUCUGUUUUGUGAUUUCCAGCGAUUCCUCUGCAAACCACAGGCAUCCGAUGAGCUGCUGGCAGCCCAGGGCUCUGGCUCUGCCACCACCUUUGCAUGGCUUUGGGGUCUUCAGCUCCUGCCCCUUCGUCUCCUGCAGUGGGAUCCUGCUGCCUGAACGACCUCAGGUGCCAUGCGGAAGGCUGCUGGUUCCAGGAAGGGUAGAGCUGGGAGUGCUGUCAAACUCACAGAGGGGGGGAAGUUACUAAUUUUCUGUGUAAUCUAUUUCAGUUACAGUUAUAAUGCCUCAUUCUUCUAAGCAUUUUUUUGACAUGAAAGCAGCUUUAGUGUAGGGGAAGUGAUACUUACUUCAUUGUUAUGGUAAUUGUUGCCAUUUCCCUCCAGCAAAAGGCUCUAAGGCAGAAGUAUGUCUGAAGUCCUACCUCACUGCUCUUACCUCUUCUCCUUGGUCGCCUUUGUCAGCGCUUAUGGGCACAUACCAAGAGACACAGAUCAGCAAAACGGCAGAAAUGACCACCUCAUGAGAAAUUGUGACCCUGGAGACUAAAAUGUAAUAAAAUAUCCUCUCUGGUA